GCGCCCGUAGCUCAACGGAUAGAGCAUUGGCCUUCGAAGCCAAGGGUUGGGGGUUCGAUUCCCUCCGGGCGCGCCA
rnacentral:tRNA from 1 species